UAGGGAAUCUUCGGCAAUGGGGGGAACCCUGACCGAGCAACGCCGCGUGAGUGAAGAAGGUUUUCGGAUCGUAAAGCUCUGUUGUUAAGGAAGAACGAGUGUGAGAAUGGAAAGUUCAUACUGUGACGGUACUUAACCAGAAAGGGACGGCUAACUACGUGCCAGCAGCCGCGGUAAUACGUAGGUCCCGAGCGUUGUCCGGAUUUAUUGUGCGUAAAGCGAGCGCAGGCGGUUAGAUAAGUCUGAAGUUAAAGGCAGUGGCUCAACCAUUGUAGGCUUUGGAAACUGUUUAACUUGAGUGCAGAAGGGGAGAGUGGAAUUCCAUAUGUAGCGGUGAAAUGCGUAGAUAUAUGGAGGAACACCGGUGGCGAAAGCGGCUCUCUGGUCUGUAACUGACGCUGAGGCUCGAAAGCGUGGGGAGCGAACAGG
rnacentral:rRNA from 1 species